rnacentral:rRNA from 1 species
AGAGUUUGAUCCUGGCUCAGAAUGAACGUUGGCGGCGUGGAUUAGGCAUGCAAGUCGUGCGGAAGUAGUAGCAAUACUUCUUUAGCGGCGAAAGGGAUAGUAACACGUGGAUAACCAACCCCUCGGUCAGGGAUAGCUGCUGGAAACGGCAAUUAAUACCUGAUAACAUCUCCGGAUCAAAGGUGUGAUUCCGCCGGGGGACGGGUCCGCGUCCUAUUAGGUAGUUGGUGGGGUAACGGCCUACCAAGCCAAAGAUGGGUAGCGGGUGUGAGAGCACGACCCGCAUCACUGGGACUGAGAUACUGCCCAGACACCUACGGGUGGCUGCAGUCGAGAAUCUUCGGCAAUGGGCGCAAGCCUGACCGAGCGACGCCGCGUGCGGGAUGAAGGCCUUCGGGUUGUAAUCCGCUGUCGUAGGGGAAGAAAUGCUGGUGGGUACUCCCAUCAGUUUGACUGAUCCUAGGAGGAAGUGCAGGCUAACCUCGUGCCAGCAGCCGCGGUAAUACGAGGUGCACAAACGUUAUUCGGAUUUACUGGGCUUAAAGCGUGCGUAGGCGGCCUGGCAAGUUGGGUGUGAAAUCCCUCGG